UACAUGCUGGUUUUCUGCGAAUCUGUUUUAGCAAAUUAUUUAUUUUAUUAUUAGUAGGUAUAGCACUGAAUAUUUUUUUUUUCAAAAAAGGGAGUAUUAUUUUACUUAUCUAGAAUAUUUAAUCCCAAAAGGGCUAAAAAUUUAGGUAAAUAACCGAACUUUUUGCAAUAAGGUAUAAAGUCUAAGGGGAAACACCCCAAAACAGUAAAAAAAAAAGUAGGGCCCCCCAUUUAAUUUUAGGGGAAAAUUCCAAAAGGUNNUNCCGGGAGCUAAAUCUCAGCUUCUGCUUUCAAAUGGGGCAUGUGCUCCCCAAUUAAAAUUAAGNGAAAAUUCCAAA
rnacentral:rRNA from 1 species